CCUACGGGUGGCAGCAGUGAGGAAUAUUGGUCAAUGGCCGGAAGGCUGAACCAGCCAAGCCGCGUGAGGGAGGAAGGCGCAGAGCGUCGCAGACCUCUUUUGCCGGGGGACAAAAGGCCGGACUCGUCCGGUCCUGAGGGUACCCGGAGAAAAAGCAUCGGCUAACUCCGUGCCAGCAGCCGCGGUGAUACGGAGGAUGCGCUGGUUAUCCGGAUUCAUGGGGGUAAAAGGGUGCGCGGCCGGGCCUUUCAGCCGGCGGUGAAAUCGCGGGGCUCAACCCCGCCGCGCCGUCGAAACUGGGGGCCUUGAGUACAGUUGAGGUAGGCGGAAUUCGUGGUGUAGCGGUGAAAUGCUUAGAUAUCACGAAGAACUCCGAUGGCGAAGGCAGCUUACUAAACUGCCACUGACAUUGAUGCUCGAAAGUGUGGGUAUCAAACAGGAUUAGAUACCCUUGUAGUC
rnacentral:rRNA from 1 species